AGAAGAGGGGACCCUUUGAUCUUUGAUUUUGCUAUUCAGCAACCUCUCCCUCUCAUUACCCAGCCUCCUACCCCCACAACCAUGCUCUAUUUCCAGUUGGUCAUAAUGGCAGGCACUGUCAUGCUGGCUUAUUACUUCGAAUACACCGACACUUUCAACGUCCACGUCCAGGGAUUUUUCUGCCAUGACGGCUCCUACAAUAAGCCGUACCCUGGACCCGAUGAAAGCAGUGCCAUUCCUCCAGCUCUACUCUAUUCUCUCGUAGCCGGUGUACCCCCUGUCAUGAUAAUCGUGGGAGAAGUGGCUGUAUUUUUCCUUCAAUCAGUUACUAAGGAGUUUGGAAAUCGCGAGAAGACCAUAGUAACUGGAGAUUGUUGCUACAUCAAUCCACUCGUGCGCAGAACAGUUAGGUUUCUUGGAGUUUAUGCAUUUGGACUUUUUGCCACUGAUAUAUUUGUAAAUGCUGGACAAGUGGUGACAGGAAAUCUAGCCCCCCAUUUUCUCACAGUCUGUAAACCUAAUUAUACAGCACUGGGCUGUCAGCAUGAAUCUGUGCAAUUCAUCAACAGCGAAGAAGCCUGCACUGGCAACAUAGAUGCCGUUACAAAAGCCAGAAAAAGCUUUCCAUCCAAAGAGGCAGCAUUAAGUGUGUAUGCAGCCGUCUAUCUGGCAAUGUAUAUCACAUGUACUGUGAAAGCCAAUGGGACAAGGCUUGCAAAACCUCUCCUCUGUUUGGGCCUCAUGUGUUUGGCAUUUCUGACUGGAAUAAACAGGGUGGCAGAAUAUCGAAACCACUGGUCAGAUGUUGUAGCAGGAUUCAUCAUAGGAACAGCUGUAGGAGUGUUCUUGGUUGCAUGUGUGGUACAUAACUUUAAGGGAAGAAAUACGAUAAAUGAAAAACUACAGCCUGCCAACGUGAUGGAGAUCCCUUUGAUCACUCUACCACAUGUGGAAAGUCCAUUAGGAAAAUUAAGUGCUGUACAGUCAUUUAAGAUACUGACAUCGCAAGACCAGCAUUUAUUACCCAUCCCUAGUUGAUACUGAGAAGGUGAUGGUGGAUCUUCUUGAAUUGCUCCAGUCCAUUUGGUGAAGGUGUUCCAACAGUGCUGUUAGGUAUCGAGUUCCAGGAUUGUGACCCAACAACAAUGAAGGAAUGAUGAUAAAUUCUGAUGUCGGGAUGUGUGUAACUUGAAGAUGAUGGUGUUACCAUGCAUCAUUUGCCAUUGUUCUUCGAAGUCAUGGAGGUCACAGUUCAGGAAGCGCUGUUGAAGAAACCUUGGCAAGUUGUGUUGCAAAAUCAUUCCUUUGCAGAAGUCACAUGAUCUUCUAAACACAAGCUUGGUCUGCACAUUGGGCAUCUUCAUUAUUUACCUUUCAGUGGUCACAUUUGGGAUGAAAUCCAAGAUACAGUCUCACUUAGUAUGACACAUUCACCAUACUGGUUAUUCGUUCACAAGAUAAAAGUGAUUUUGGUAGCUAAACAGGACAUUUGUAAUAAUUGAAGCACAUUGCAUCAUAUUGAAGGGACAGAAAGUGUACAUUUGGCGUUUUCUGUGUCUCUCUUUUUCCUUGCACAGAUUAAUGU